GAUCAGUGAAAUCGUUAGACCACAGCAUGAAAUCCACCCGAUGCUUGAUGCAUCCAAUUAUGGGGCAUGUCGAAAGAUCAAGUACAUCCAGCCACACAUAUAUAAGCACACUGUGAGCCUCGUUGGUCGUUGCACCAGUCACACCUCAGUGAGCUGCUUGAGACCUGCAGCUUGUAGAAGUAGGAGCAGCAGCUAGACUGAAGAUAUGCUUGGGAGGAGGAGAGGCGGAUCGUCAUCCAAGUCGCGUGAACCCAACACCGGGACGGCGGGCGCUGCUAAAAACGGUCAGGGGGUGACCGUCUCACAGUUCAUCACGCAGCUCGAUGAGUCUGUGACGAAGAGGCUGGAUCGCAUGAAUCAGAGGCUGAGGCUGCUUGAGCAGCAGAUGGAGACACUGGAGGCUGACGUCGCCAAGGCAAGCAGAGGUUCCGUUAACGUAGAAGGUUGCAGCUGAAUGGCCUAUUGCCUUAAGCGGCUCUGCAGGCGAAUUUAGAUGAUAGCAUCAGCGACUUCGCCUGGCACUGUAGGCGAGCACUAUGGUCGGACUCGGAAUUUUCAGGUCGUUUUAGAGGGCUCGAUACUGCAGUUAUAUUCCUUCGCUACUGCGAAACCAUCUGUUAUAUUUGGAUCACCAAUCAGAUUUUCUCUGUGCAAACUACAGAUGACACAAAUUCAUUGAA